rnacentral:rRNA from 1 species
UGGGGAAUAUUGCACAAUGGGGGAAACCCUGAUGCAGCGACGCCGCGUGAACGAAGAAGGUAUUCGUAUCGUAAAGUUCUGUCCUAUGGGAAGAUAAUGACAGUACCAUAGAAGAAAGCUCCGGCUAAAUACGUGCCAGCAGCCGCGGUAAUACGUAUGGAGCGAGCGUUGUCCGGAAUUAUUGGGCGUAAAGGGUACGCAGGCGGUUUAAUAAGUCGAAUGUUAAAGAUCGGGGCUCAACCCCGUAAAGCAUUGGAAACUGAUAAGCUUGAGUAGUGGAGAGGAAAGUGGAAUUCCUAGUGUAGUGGUGAAAUACGUAGAUAUUAGGAGGAAUACCAGUAGCGAAGGCGACUUUCUGGACACAAACUGACGCUGAGGUACGAAAGCGUGGGGAGCAAACAGG